CCCUUAGAUGUCCGGGGCUGCACGCGCGCUACACUGAAGGAAUCAGCGUGCUAGAAAACCUUGUUUGACAUGGCUAGGUAACCCGUUGAAAAUCUUUCGUGAUUGGGAUCGAGACUUGCAAAUGUGUCCCUUGAACGAGGAAUUCCCAGUAAGUGCGGGUCAUAAGCUCGCGCUGAUUACGUCCCUGCCCUUUGUACACACCGCCCGUCGCUGCCCGGAACUGAGCCGUUUCGAGAAGACUGGGGACUGCGAACUUUGGGCUGGAAAACAGCUUUUUGUUUGUGGAAACCACUUUAAUCGCAGCGGCUUGAACCGGGCAAAAGUCGUAACA
rnacentral:rRNA from 1 species